rnacentral:rRNA from 1 species
CUAGCGACUUCAGAGUUUGAUCCUGGCUCAGGAUGAACGCUAGCGGCAGGCUUAACACAUGCAAGUCGAGGGGCAGCGCGAUGAAGUAGCAAUACUGAUUUCCGGCGGCGACCGGCGCACGGGUGCGUAACGCGUAUGUAACCUACCUAUAACAGGGGGAUAACACUGAGAAAUUGGUACUAAUACCCCAUAACACUUUAGAGGGCAUCCUUUAGAGUUGAAAGUUCCGGCGGUUAUAGAUGGACAUGCGUUGUAUUAGCUAGAUGGUGAGGUAACGGCUCACCAUGGCGACGAUACAUAGGGGGACUGAGAGGUUAACCCCCCACACUGGUACUGAGACACGGACCAG